rnacentral:misc_RNA from 1 species
AAAGUCGUAACAAGGUCUCCGUUGGUGAACCAGCGGAGGGAUCAUUACAGAGUUGCAAGACUCCCAAACCAUUGUGAACGCUACCGAUCGUUGCUUCGGCGGGCGGGGCCCUCGCGCCCCCCCCGGCCCUCGCGGGCGCCCGCCGGAGGUACCCAACUCCUGACUACCAUAUGGCCUCUCUGAGUCUUCUGUACUGAAUAAGUCAAAACUUUCAACAACGGAUCUCUUGGUUCUG